rnacentral:rRNA from 1 species
ACAAAUUAAUAAUUACAACUUUCAACAACGGAUCUCUUGGUUCUGGCAUCGAUGAAGAACGCAGCGAAAUGCGAUAAGUAGUGUGAAUUGCAGAAUUCAGUGAAUCAUCGAAUCUUUGAACGCACAUUGCGCCCUUUGGUAUUCCAAAGGGCAUGC